GCCUGUUGCCUCCGCCCUGGCCGCGGGGCUCUGCAGCUGCUCCGGGGCACGGGGCGGGGCCCGGCGCUCCGGAGCGGGCUGGCGUGUGGCUGCUGCUGGCUGGUGACAGUGUUCCUGGGCUGAUGUUACAACCCGACCCCUCGCCCGGGGCUCGGUGGUGGCCAAACGGCGCUUCCUGCCCUCCACACCUGCCCAGCAGCGAGGCACGCACCGCACCUGGGAUUGGGGGUCGCUAACAUCUUCUGCCUUGUGGCGGGCACGCUGGGGCGCAGCUACUGAAGCCCUUCAGGGACCCUGAGGAGUCGCUCAUAGUGUCAUAGAGAUUAAGGCCAGAAGGGAUCAUCAGAUCUUUUAGUCUGACCCCCUCACAGGGCACCAACACCACUCAGCAUCCACACAAUAAACGCAGCAACUGAAAUGAGACCAAAGCAUUACCAAGGAUGUUGGCAAUUUGUGGGAUGGGAGCUGCGGGAGCAGAGCUGCCUGGCCAUGCCUCUGUCUAGGAGCCGGACAAACUGGCUGUUUCCAGGGAUACCAGGCUUUCAAAGAAGAGCAGAAAACUUAAAAAAGGAUCUGGAAACAAGGCAUAUAAAACAGUCUCCCUGCCUCCACAUUAAAUUAAUACUACCACACCAAAAAAAAAUUUUAAAAGGGAGGAGGAGAAGCAAUCUCAUUGAACAGGAGGCACUAUGAGGAGUUGUCAACGGGAGAGGAACAUCACAGGCAGAAGAGAAUCAGGUGGCACAUCAAGGGCAGCAGGGAAGAAGAGAACUCAGUGUCAGUAAAAUAUGUACAAUAAGAGAAAGUCACUAGGUAGCAGAGAGACAUAAACGGGAAUGGACAAGAUCAGAAUGAAUGGAAGAGCAAAGAGAGACAGUAUGAUUAAUUUUCUUCAAAAUGGAUAAAAUACAUGCUAGAUUAGACACUAUUUUAGCAUGCCCCCUGGAUGUCUCAGCACCUAUGUCCAAUGUCACAGCUAGUUCCUCCUAUUCCUUGAGGGCCUGAUCUCGCCCCCCAAUUAAGUCUAUAACAAGAUUUCCUUUGAUUUCAAAUAUAGGUGGUUUCUUUUAAAGGACACAUUUGAUUUUGUGCACAAUACUAGAAAACCCUCCUUAUUUUUGGCUAUGUGAUGUGUACUUUGAACCCUCAGCAUAGGUGGAUAUUCAUGUUGGCUCCUCCAGUCCACAUUUUCCUGUUCCUCAAAUCUUGCCUAUAUGAGAAAGUUGCACCAGUUUAACUUAAAUAAUUUUAAAACUUAUUUAGUGAAAACAAUAAGAUUCUUCUUUAGACAUUUAUUUCAGAGAAGGUGUGGCUCAUUUCUAUUUAGUUUAAGUCUGUUCUUAAUUGAAUUUAGAUAACUGAAAUAAUCACUGUUAAACUGAACUAAGAACUUCUCCACAAGGGUUUGAAUCAAUUUAACUCCACUGGUUUAAAAUCAAAAGUCUAGGUGCAACUUUCUCAUGCAGACAAGACCUAAAUUUAUAAACAGCAGUCAAAUUAGAGAACUUAGAAGACAUUUAUUCUUAUUUCUAAUACUUAACAAGAUUAGACAAUUAAAAAGACCAGUAGGGAGUAAUUAAAUAGUUGUAGAACUAUAUAGUAGUUGGUGUUUUUUAAUAAAAGGAAAAAUAUUUACAUACAGGAAAGUCAUUUUAAAAGAGCUAAUAUACAAAAGGUGUUUAAUGGUCCUGAGCUGAACAUGUUUCUAUAAAAAAAAAACUUUAACACAGUCUCUCCUGUUGUUUGGGUGUCUGCUUGGAUGAUGUUAGGGAUACCACAAAGCUCACAUUUUUGUUAUUGACAAGUAGUUUUAGGAAGGUGAUGUAUUGAUUAAAACUUCAACUUUUCAUAAAGCUCUUCAGGCCAUUUCAGCUCUUCUUCAAACUCACUCCCAGUAAGAACACACCUUGCAUUUGGUGCCAUUGGUGCCCAGCUUUAAAUCAGCCAUCUGAGAUGGUUACUCAGCAAAAGGAAUGAUUCAUAGCAGUCACAUGUUGCUUUGAAAAGGCUGUGAGAACCUCUUUUCAGGUUCUGCAACACCCCGCAGAAAACUUUCUUGCAAUAAUCUCGCUAGGAAUCUUUAAAAACAUUUAAAGACAUACUAGUUGAUAUCAGGCUGGAAUGUUGAAUAUCUUUAUCUUAAGUCACGUGCAUAAGGGCUUGGAUUUUCAGAGGACCUUAAGGGAAUGGGGGUUGAGUACUUGAUUCCUUUUAGGCCCCUUUGGAAAUCCCAGCCAAGAUUGUUUGCCCUCUUGUCUGUGGGAUUAUGUGCUUUCAUGAAGCUGCAAUUAGUUUUGGGAAGACUUAACAUAU